CCUCUGUCACGCAUCUUAACUGUCUCAUGUCCAGCUGUGUGUCCUACAGUAGAGGUUAAUCUGCUCCUUGUAUGUCUCUGCUGUCCCCUCCAGCGGGCCCCAUGGUCAGGCCCUCAGUCUCUCUGCUUCCCCCCUCCUCUGAGCAGCUCUCUGGAGGCUCGGCCACGCUGGCCUGCCUGCUGACUGGCUACUCUCCUCAGGGAGCCGUGGUGAGCUGGGAGGUGGACGGCACAGAGGUGACAGAGGGCGUCCUGAGCAGCUCAGAGGAGGAGAAGAGUGGACGCUACAGCAGCAGCAGCACCCUGAGCCUGAGCCAGGAGCGCUGGAUGUUAGGAGAGAAGUACUCCUGCAAGGUCCUCCAUCAUGACCACAGCCAGACCCAGUCCCUCCUCAGGAGCCAGUGUGGGGGCUAGAGGGGCUGGCUGAAGCCCAGGACAGGAGCUGUGUGUGGGGGGAGCAGGAGGAGCACGCCUGCUGCUCUCCUCAGUCUGAGUUUGAAUGUUUGUAGAGGAAACUAAAGCUUUGU